rnacentral:lncRNA from 10 species
AACAGCUCAGGUCUGCAACUCCCUGCGAGAUCGACGCAGAAGAUGCCCCCUGAGAGGUCUGGGAUAUUCACCCAUGGUCAAUCAAUGCUUAUGAGGCACAGCAAGAAUCAGUGUGGCAGAUAUUAAAGACUCAGGCUUUCCAGAAUUCCAAGAAGGAAAAUAGAGCAUAUAAAGUCUGAGACACUCUGCUCAAAUAUUGAACAUCAACAUCAGCAGAGUACUUGCAACUCUGCAUACUACUCUCUCCUUACAACCAUCUAGACAGUCCAGGAGAGUGGGUAACAGACUACGGCCUGUGGGCCAAAGUAAGUCCUGUGUAUUAAGAAGGGUUUUCAUAUUUUUAAGUGGUUAAAAAAUAAUUAAAGGAUUUUUUACUGUGUCUCAUGACACAGGAACAUUAUAUGAAAUUCAAAUGUCAGUGUCCAUAAAUAAAAUUUUUAUUAGAACACAGCUACACUGAUUUAUUUUGGUAUGGUUUGGCUCUGUGUCCCCACCCGAAUCUCUACAUAAUUCCUACAUGUUAUGGGAGGGACCUGGUGGGAGAUGAUUGAAUCAUAGGGGCAGGUCUUCCCAUGCUGUUCUUCUGAUAGUGAAUGUGUCUUAUGAGAUCUGAUGGUUUUAAAAACAGGAGUUUCCCUGCACAAGCUCUAUUCUCUUGUCUGUGGCCAUGUGAGACAUGCCUUUCACCUUCUGCUAUGAUUGUGAGGCCUCCCCACCCACACAGAACUGUGAACCCCAAUAGACUUCUUUCUUUUGUAAAUUGCCCAGUCUCAGGUAUGUCUUUAUCAGCAACCUGAAAAUGAACUAAUACAGUAAAUUG